GAUGAACGCUGGCGGCGUGCUUAACACAUGCAAGUCGAACGAAGCAUUUAAGACAGAUUACUUCGGUUUGAAGUCUUUUAUGACUGAGUGGCGGACGGGUGAGUAACGCGUGGGUAACCUGCCUCAUACAGGGGGAUAGCAGCUGGAAACGGCUGGUAAUACCGCAUAAGCGCACAGUACCACAUGGUACAGUGUGAAAAACUCCGGUGGUAUGGGAUGGACCCGCGUCUGAUUAGCUUGUUGGCGGGGUAACGGCCCACCAAGGCGACGAUCAGUAGCCGACCUGAGAGGGUGGCCGGCCACAUUGGGACUGAGACACGGCCCAGACUCCUACGGGAGGCAGCAGUGGGGAAUAUUGCACAAUGGAGGAAACUCUGAUGCAGCGACGCCGCGUGAGUGAAGAAGUAGUUCGCUAUGUAAAGCUCUAUCAGCAGGGAAGAUAGUGACGGUACCCGACUAAGAAGCUCCGGCUAAAUACGUG
rnacentral:rRNA from 1 species